UCUUAUGGAUGAACAAAAAAAGUGGUUUCUUGAGACCGAAUUUACUCUUGGUGAAGAUGCCGUGAA
rnacentral:pre_miRNA from 1 species